rnacentral:tRNA from 2 species
UAUUUUAAUAGCUUAUUUAGAGUUUAAUGCUGAAGACAUUAAGGUAGAUUUUUCUUUAAAAUAU